GAAAUACCGUUCAGGGGAAGGUUGGCCCUGCCUGGGUGCUAUUGCAGUUCGCUCCUCCUUCUGAAUUACCAGUCCUUCCGUGUGCUAUCCACACAGCCAGGCAGUGAUCUUUUGGAUAGGUGUGGCUGACUGGACAAAUGGGUAGAACGCCUGACUUACCACAGCUCCCAAUGCCACUUGAACAAAUGAAGAGGUGUUGGAGAGAUGGGAAAGAUGGAGGAGCAAGUGUUUUACCUGCAUGUGGGCACCACAUGCAUGCCUGAUGCCUGAGGAGACCAGAAGAGGUGUUGGACGGCCCCAAACUGGAGUUACUGGCACUUGUGAGUUGACACGUGGGUGGUGGGAAAAGAACCUUGGUCUACUGCAAGAACCACAAGUGCUCUUAACCACUGAGCUGUCUCUCCAGGCCUGUACAUAAAUUUUAGAAGUAAUAUUGAAGGAGUAGCAGUUAGAUAUAUUUCAAAUAGGCAAACAGAUAGGAAAAGGAGCCAUAACUAAGUAAUAAGAAGGUCACCUUCCUAGAUCACAGCUUCUUCCUCAUCCUCUUGACCUGAUACAAAAGCCUGGCAGCUUAAAAUAAAGGCCUGGAAGGUUUUUAAUCUGGGCAGUAGCUUAUCUCGAUCUCCAUAAACCCACCUAACAACUUCAAAUGCUGAUGCCUCUCCCUGCCUCACUCUGUCCACCCACUUCUGCCUCUCAUCUUUCUCCCCCUUCUAUUCCCCCCUCUGUCCUUCUUUCUCCCCCUUUCUAUUUCUUUCCCUCUCUCCCUUCUCCUUCCUCCCUGAUCCCCCUGCCUUCCACUCCCCCUCUCUUCCAACAUCCAGACCAUAAAAUCCUGCUGGAACAGGGCCAGCGUCCUUGGCAGCCAGGAUGGUGCCAUCUGGAGAUUGACUUUCUGUUUCCUGGUUUACUUUGUGUUUUUUUUCUCUUCAGAGCUCUGACCUCCGACUUAGAAACUGUUAACAAAGCAGACCUUACUAAGGCCACAAGGUCUUUCAACCCUCCCCUAAGAGGGGGCCUCUUUUUAUAACCCCAGAACUCUGAGCCAGAGAUAAUAGACCUCUUCCGGCAUCAGAGUGCAGCCUGGCCCAGUGAUAAUAAGGACAGAUUGUGCCUGGCCAGGGAUGAUAAGGACAGAAUGUAGCCUGGUGCAGGGAUGAGAACAGACUGAACUCUAGCCCAGGGAUAAGGACCUCUGGUCUUCCUCUUAUCCCAGGCCUGCAGCGGUUCUGGGAGUCAGGAAGCCCAGGACAGGCAUAGGCAGAGCCAGACUCCUGGCCUGGGUUAGGGAGACAUACCACUGAAAGCCCAGGGAUGCUUAGGCAGUGAGGCUAGUUGUGUGGAAAACUGGACACCAGUGCCUGUCCAUCUUUCCAGACCCACAGAAGUCACAUUGCCAGGAAUCAGACUGGCUCAGUUUCAUAACAGAGUCAAAUUUAUUCCUACACUGAGCAUGUGUGCUUCUCACUAUAGGAUGUUGACCUUAGGGAAAUGGAUCUGGGAAGGACAGCAAAUGUAAAAAGUCUCAGUACUUUCCUCUCAGUUUUCCUGUGAUGCUGGAACUACUCUUAAAUUCUGCUUUUUUUUUUUUUUUUUUAAAGGCAUGAAAACUUUGUGUGAUAUCGAAAUUGCUGGAAUUUUAGGUCUCCAGGCACGUCAGAGGUUCUAUUCUUGAGCAGGAGUUUUCCCUUAAAGGGCCUCGACAGUGUAACAAGUUCAGAAGUGAGUGCAGUUUGUCUACCCUGACUCUGAGGAGCUGGAAGAAAGCAGUGAUGUUAAGAGCCAACUUUAGC